rnacentral:rRNA from 1 species
AGCGAACGCUGCGGCAUGCUUAACACAUGCAAGUCGCACGAAGGUUUCGGCCUUAGUGGCGGACGGGUGAGUAACGCGUAGGAAUCUAUCCAUGGGUGGGGGAUAACACUGGGAAACUGGUGCUAAUACCGCAUGAUACCUGAGGGUCAAAGGCGCAAGUCGCCUGUGGAGGAGCCUGCGUUCGAUUAGCUAGUUGGUGGGGUAAAGGCCUACCAAGGCGAUGAUCGAUAGCUGGUUUGAGAGGAUGAUCAGCCACACUGGGACUGAGACACGGCCCAGACUCCUACGGGAGGCAGCAGUGGGGAAUAUUGGACAAUGGGGGCAACCCUGAUCCAGCAAUGCCGCGUGUGUGAAGAAGGUCUUCGGAUUGUAAAGCACUUUCGACGGGGACGAUGAUGACGGUACCCGUAGAAGAGGCCCCGGCUAACUUCGUGCCAGCCGCCGCAGUAA